rnacentral:rRNA from 1 species
GAUGAACGCUGGCGGCGUGCUUAACACAUGCAAGUCGAACGAUGAAGCCCAGCUUGCUGGGUGGUUUAGUGGCGAACGGGUGAGUAACACGUGAGUAACUUGCCCUCAACUCUGGGAUAAGCCUGGGAAACUGGGUCUAAUACCGGAUAGGAGCGUCCACCGCAUGGUGGGUGUUGGAAAGAUUUAUCGGUUUUGGAUGGACUCGCGGCCUAUCAGCUCGUUGGUGAGGUAAUGGCUCACGAAGGCGAUGACGGGUAGCCGGCCUGAGAGGGUGACCGGCCACAAUGGGACUGAGAGACGGCCCAGAAUCCUACGGGAGGCAGCAGUGGGGAGUAUUGCACAAUGGGCGCAAGCCUGAUGCAGCGGCGCCGCGUGAGGGAUGACGGCCUUCGGGUUGUAAACAUCUUUCAGUAGAGAAGAAGCGAAAGUGACGGUACCUGAAGAAGAAGCACCGGCUAACUACGUG